rnacentral:rRNA from 1 species
UACGAAGGGUGCAAGCGUUAAUCGGAAUUACUGGGCGUAAAGGGUGCGUCGGCGGUUAUUUAAGUCUGCCGUGAAAUCCCCGGGCUCAACCUGGGAAUGGCGGUGGAUACUGGAUAGCUAGAGUGUGUCAGAGGAUGGUGGAAUUCCCGGUGUAGCGGUGAAAUGCGUAGAGAUCGGGAGGAACAUCAGUGGCGAAGGCGGCCAUCUGGGACAACACUGACGCUGAAGCACGAAAGCGUGGGGAGCAAACAGG